UCGAGAAUUUUUCACAAUGGGCGCAAGCCUGAUGGAGCGACGCCGCGUGGGGGAUGAAGGGUUUCGAUCCGUAAACCCCUGUCAUUUGCGAACAAACCUUGAUUGUGAAUAGCGAUCGAGCUGAUUGUAGCGGAAGAGGAAGGGACGGCUAACUCUGUGCCAGCAGCCGCGGUAAUACAGAGGUCCCAAGCGUUGUUCGGAUUCACUGGGCGUAAAGGGUGCGUAGGUGGUCGGUGAAGUUCGGUGUGAAAGCUCGGAGCUCAACUCCGAAACGGCAUUGAAAACUCAUCGGCUGGAGGGUCGGAGGGGAGACUGGAAUUCUCGGUGUAGCAGUGAAAUGCGUAGAUAUCGAGAGGAACACCAGUGGCGAAGGCGAGUCUCUGGACGACUCCUGACACUGAGGCACGAAAGCCAGGGGAGCAAACAG
rnacentral:rRNA from 1 species